rnacentral:rRNA from 1 species
GUGGGGGAUAUUGCACAAUGGAGGAAACUCUGAUGCAGCAACGCCGCGUGAGGGAAGAAGGAUUUCGGUUUGUAAACCUCUGUCAUUGGUGACGAUAAUGACGGUAGCCGAUGAGGAAGCUCCGGCUAACUACGUGCCAGCAGCCGCGGUAAUACGUAGGGAGCGAGCGUUGUCCGGAAUUACUGGGUGUAAAGGGUGCGUAGGCGGGGGACCAAGUCAGGUGUGAAAACUAUCGGCUUAACCGGUAGCCUGCACUUGAAACUGGCCCUCUUGAGUGAAGUAGAGGCAGGCGGAAUUCCCGGUGUAGCGGUGAAAUGCGUAGAGAUCGGGAGGAACACCAGUGGCGAAGGCGGCCUGCUGGGCUUUAACUGACGCUGAGGCACGAAAGCAUGGGUAGCAAACAGGAUUAGAAACCCUAGUAGUCC